UGGAAGUCAAUGUCCCAAGACUAUACCUGGAGGAGUUGGGGAUGGCUUUAUACAUGGGGUGAGGCUUGAGAAAACAUGGUGCUCAUAAGGCCAAAAGACUUUGGUAGUGGUAGUAUUGGCUCACGUUUCCUUUCAGAUAGAUUGAAAACCAUGUGCAAAGGCAAAGGAGGUGAGAGAAAGCACUCAACCCCCAAGGAAAAUAGGCCGAGGCCAGAUCAAAAAGGUCUUUAGAUAUGACACCAAAUGUCUCAACCUUCUUUCAGCUGAUGGUGUGGUGAGCGGUUCCAACACAAUACAUGCUUUGGCAACUAUUGUCACAUGCAGACCAUCUUGAGUCACAUAACGUCUUGACUUUCUUAGAUUCAAAAUAUUUUUAUAUCUUUUUUCUACUAUGUAUCCAAAGCACUUAGUUGAAUAGUUUUAUUUUAUGCCUACUUCAUGAAUACUUGACUUCUAAGAAAUAACUUUUCUUUCUCUAGCCUAUUGUAUUUACCCUACAGCCUAGCAUAGAUACACACCUAAAAAUAAUUUUUCUGGACUCAGCCUGGGAGUGAGGCUUAAAUGGCAAUUUAUUCCUGCCUCCAGCUUAUUAAAGAAAUUCCCCAGUCCCCUAUCGUCCCCUUCAUCAAUUUUGAUAAGAGUCAUCCAGAUCCAGUGACUCAGGGACAAAACAAUCACCACCUCAAGUGUUUCAUUCAAUCCUACAGACUAGAGCUCCAGGAAGACUGAAUAGAGACACCCAGGAGAGCUUUCCUGGUUGACAGCACUCCCUGCCUAUCGCCACACAUUGAUGCCAGGAGGGUGAGGUGAACUCACUUCAAGGCGAGAGGGCCGUUGAAGCUUCUGUUUGAAACCCUCUCAGACUCUGCCCUAAGCAUCUCUUCCUCUGGCUGAUUUUAAUCUGUAUCCUUUCCCUGCAAUAAACCAAAGCCAUGGGUGUAACUGUUCUGUGAGCCCUUCUAGUAAAUUUUCAAAACUGAGGGUAGUUUGUGGAUCCCCCCGCCAACCUUGAGGUUCAUGUCAGAAGUAAGAGAGGUCUUGGGGACUGUAUCCUCUAACUGUCUUGGGCAAACUCUAUUCCUCUAAACUCUUUUUUUUUUUUUAACUUUUUACACUGAUAUUCUAGAUUGUUUUUCAAUCAGUAAAGCAAACCUGAUAAAGAAGUUCUAAGAAUCAGGCCCUUCAUACCAUUUAUAGUGGAGGUUGCCUGGCAUUCUGUGUAUCAUUCUAGUUCUUAGCAUGCACAGCUAUCUCCUCUGGAUUCCAUGAGGCAGGAUUCAUCUCAGUUCCCUCUAGCACAGUGGCUAACAGAGCAGGUACUCAGAAGUGCCUGUGACUAGAGUCACAUAUAAGACAGGGUCUGUUCUCAGGAGCUCAGCAUGCACAUGUGGAGACUUCACAGGAAAAUGUAAGGACUUUCACAUUGGUGGCAUCUAGUUUCAAAGAGAAUGGCGAGUGUCUCAGUCAGCUAGGGCUGCCAUAGUAAAAUUCCACACUUCUGUUGGCGUAAGCAACAGAAAUGUACUUGCUCACAGUUCUGGAGACUGGAAGUCCAAGAUCAUAGUGCCAGCAAGGUCAUGCUCUGGUGAAGCAUCUCUUCCUGUCUUGUAAACAGACAUCAUAUUGUGUGUGUUCACAUGGCCUUUGCUUGGUGCAUCUGCAGAGAAAGAGAGGGAGAGAAAGACAAAGAGAUGGAGAGAGAGCUGUUUCUUAUAAGGGCACUAAUCCUAUCAUGGGAGCCUUACCCUCAUGACCUCAUCUCAACCUAAUGACCCUCCCAAAGCCCUGUCUCUAACUACCAUCGCAUUGCGGGCUAGGGCUUCCACAUAGGAAUUUUGGGGGGACAAAAUUCUAUUUAUAGCAGUGACUUAAUCUGAGGUGACCCAAGCAGCUUUGAAUAGGAUUGGGCCUGGUGGACACAAGAGGAAUGGAAAACAGGGUCUGAAGGUGUCGCUUGCAGGGUGACCCCAGGGCCCAGAAUGCCCAUGUCUUCUGCUCCUUAAUCUCCAUGUCCCAAGAGGUGCAUAAGGGGACACUGGGGACACAGAAAAGCCACGUCUUCAUCAGCGGAGGAAAUAGCUCAGGAAAACUCCUAUGCGUUCUUUGGUUUCCCUCAUUAUUAAGACCAAUCAUAGGAAAAUGAGAAAGGAAAAUCCACUCUUCCACCCGAUAUGUGUGUUCUUGUGACUCCCACCUGAUGGAGACGGUUGCUAGGAAACUGUGACCACAGUCUGCAGAUUCUGUCAAGGAGAAAGGACCCCCUCACCCCUGAGUUCUCCUUGAAACUCACAAAGUGCUUAGCUGCAGCCUGUGGUGCAGCAUUCAGGAGAGUUAAUGCUGGCAAUUCACAGAGAAGGGAACUGAAGAUUAGGGGCAUCAGGUAGGCAGCUGGUCAUGGCACCAGCGUGUGGCUUGGAGCCAGCUCCCCUGCUGCCCAGGGAGGUGCUGUCUCUAUUCCAUUGCACUGCCCUCAAGAAGAGGGACCUAGUUCAAAACCAGAAAGGUGAGGCUGCCAUGGUCUGCCCUUUUGGGGCACCUCUGGAAGAGGGUACCUCUUCACCGAAUGUCUUCCUUUGUGUGUUCUCACAGGAUGGCAAUCCCAGGUCUGGAUUAAUGCCUGUGUCUGCUGAAAAACAGUGGGACAGACAGUGCUGGUCCAUGGCUGCCUUCAAAAUGCUACUAAAUUUCUGUCUGCCAUAAAGUGGAGAGAAAAAGAGUGCAAAACUAAAACGGGAAGUUUCCUCAUCUAGAAAACAACGAUGAUGAUGAUGUCAGUGAUAACCUAUUUUGUACGUUCUCAUAAAUGGUAAGUAUGUUAAUAUAUGCAAACUUACUGGAGCAUUGCCUUGUCCAUGAUAAACUCAACUAGUGUUUGCUCAUCUCAAUUAUCCAGAAAAAAAAUGGAGAAGGGAGGAGGUUGGGCAGUAGUUUUGGAGGCAGAUGCAAUACUGAAAGAAGAUAUUUUUAGGAUAAGUGGAGUGAAUUGUGAAUUCUGACUGCUCUGGUCUGAUCCUAAGUUUCAGUUUUUAGCUAGGUCUGCUCAGUUCAUGAAAUCACAGUGGGCAGGGACCUUCACACAAAGCACCGAGGAUGAGAUGAAUGACAGGAGAGAGGGCAGAUUGGCAGAGCACUGUGUGGGAAAUUAAGCAGUCCCUGGUCUCAUGUCUUACCAUUGCAAUAAUCAGAAGAGCAGGUCUCAUAUCUUGCCUCAGUUUUUUAGGGUUUGAAGCAACAUGGAUCUCUCAAAUGUGAGCACCAAGACUGAAAACCACUAAGGAUAAUGAGAAGCUGUCUUUGUGCACACAUUUUGGUCUCCUCCCAUCCAUGCUGGAAAUAGCCACUUCAAUAUCAUCAGAAGGGUAUAAUGCUGGGAGACACUCUCUGGCCUCAUGGAGUUCCCUGUCCAGUUGGAUGGACACAAAGGCAAGAAGACACAGGGAGCGUGACAGCAGCUAUGAGAGGUGUUGGAGCCUGCGGCUGGGGUGGGCGCGGUGCCGGAAGGCUUCCUGAAGGGAAGGGCUUCUCCACCAGAUCCUAAAAACCAACUGGAACAGACUUUUUCCUCCUGCUAUUGGGCAUCAGAAGCCCAAGUUCUCUGGCCUUUGGACUCCAAGACCUGCAACAGUGCCAUGGUUUCCCUCCUGGCCCCAGUGGAUUUCAGUGCUGACUGAAAGUUACACCAUCAGCUUCCUUGAUUCUGAGGCCUUUGGGCAUGGACUGAGUCACCCUGCCAGCUACCCCGGUUCUCCAUAAUCAUGUUAGACAGUUCCCGUAAGUCCCUUCUUGUUAUCUCUCUAUGUAUCCUAUUGGCUCUGUGUCUCUGGAGAAUCCUCACUAAUACAUAUCCUUUGAGUUGGAUAGAAUUCUCUCCAUUUACAGAUGAGAAAACUGUGCCUCAGGGAGGCUUAAUGCUCAAAUUCAUUCGGCUAUUAAAUGGAGAGCCCCAGUUGGAAUCCAGGCCCACCGGACAUGUACUGUCUACCUGCCUUGGGUGCUGUUCCCAAGGGGCAUGAGUGUUCAUGGGUGGCAAUGGAAUCCCUAGUCCAGUUCAGUGGCGCUUACCUUUUGAAAGUUUAGAGACCUCAGGAACCUCAUGCUGAUUGGAAAUGUGCUUUUUCCUGCCUGACCUUUGAUACGGUUUCACUGUGUCCCUACCCAAAUCGCAUGUUGAAUGGUGAUCCUGAGUGUUGGAGGUGAGACCUGGUGGGAGGUGAUUGGAUCAUGGGGGUGGUUUCUAAUGGUUUAGCACCA
rnacentral:lncRNA from 1 species